CGAGCGCUGGCGGCGCGCUCAGUUCCGCGCAGGGGUGUAAGGCGGGAGCCGCUCUGGUUGGGAUUGCACUCUUAAUACGGAGUAGCUAUUCCGCAGCAAUGUCGAUCCCUUCUCCUCCUCAUAGGAGCUCGGUUUUGUUUGCUGUUAUUAGUUGUUCUCGAACGUUUAACGAAAUUAUUUCUGCAAAGCCAUGGAGAAGAAGUAAUACAACUAAUGCAGUGCAGAUACCUGUAGAAAGAAGAGUGCACGCUGGUUCUUUCCAGAACACUGGAUCCCUGACACCCAGCUCUGUCUCUGUUGCUGUGGAGUGAGUGAGUGAACUGCUACUGCCUUCUCGGUCUUAUGUACUGAAAGCAACACUCACAUCUGGAACUUCCCUUCUUUGUCCCUCACUUCCGAGAUCUUCUUUUGGAUUUCACUUGAGCCUGUUUGAUUGCUCUCUGUAUGACCAUCCAGCGGGCUGACCAUUUGUUCAGUGAAAGACCAUUAGAACUCCAUGAGGGAAGCUUAUACAGAUGGAAUAUGAAGAUGUUAACAAGUGAUAAAUGCCUAUGCCUUUACCUUUCCGGAACCCUUCAUUUAUACUACUGUUGCUGCUGCUGCCGCCACCGGCACCACUACUACUACUACUACUACUACUACUACUACUACUACUACUACUAUUUCUACUACUACUAGCAGCAGCAUUCAUUAUUGUAAAUUUAAGUCUUUAGAUGUUAUACAUGCUUACUUUGCAGCUCCUAUGAGGGAGCCAACAUCUAUCUUUUUUUUAAAAAAAAAACAGGCUAACAGGAAUCCUCAGAGAAAUCUCUGUGCUAUUUUGUAAAGUGUUUGCUUUGGUUUUAUUUAAUGUUUGGGAGUCUCAUUAAAAAUUGGAUGGUUGUGUGCUUGCCACUUAUAUUAAAUAUGCUGGAGUGCAUCACCAGCUAUAUAUAUUUUUUUUAACAUUUGUGACGUGGAGGCAAGGAGAAACAGCACAACAGCCAUCAUUUACGUCCUGCUCUUGUCACUUGGCGUCACAUAAAUAUCACAGUCAGGAUACUGGUUGCAUUUUUAAGGGAUCAUAAGGAUCAUAAGGGAUCAUAAGACCUUUAUGUAUUCACUGAUCGUUGGUGAACAUGGAAUCCUUUGCAAAUGCUGGGGCCCCCAUGCCAGUUGAGCAUACUUCUGUGUCACAUGGUUGUCCUUAUUCAGGAAAUUGGUCCUUGCUCAGGAAACUGAUCUUGUAACUAUCAUACAUUGAUUUUGAAAGUUCUGGCAAAAUUGAUGUGUGUUUAAAAAGCACAUGGAUGAUGUUUCAGAGGAAUAAUGGGCUUUUUGUUUUGUAUGCAAAGGAGAAUGCUGCAGUUGAUGUUUUGCAAAAAUAUGUGGUGGGCAAUGUCCCCAGUCCAUGUUCCACAGAAGUGGCUUCCUCAUAAUGGCCAGUCUUUUGAAGCACUCGGAGGAGGUUCUGUUGAUAUAAAUGGAGUGACUGCAGCACUGUCAGCCACACACAAAACAUUGCCUAUAUGAGCUAUAAUGAAUAAUGCUAUCUCAACUGAGGCGUCAGAUGGAAUGCUAUCAGCAUCUGGGGGCUGCCUUCUACAUGGGAGAAGUCCCAGCGUUGAUUCACAGAAUAAGAAUUGGCUAUUUUCCCUCACCAUUUUGCUGACAGCAGUCUGAGGUAAUAUCAAGACCUCCUCCUAUACAGAGUUGAAGGAACCCUUGAGCAAUCCCAGGCACACAACUGGAUAUACGUGUGCAUGCACUUGUCACUCAGCUGCGAUCAUGACCGCAAGAAAACUUCCUGUGCUGUGACAUCACCCACUUCCUGUUCCUUGGAUUACCCAUUCUGCCUUGCUUUGCAUGUGGUUUUCAUUGACUUGGCAAGCCUUUUAAUCAACAUAAAUGAGAAGUUGUGAAAUUGUGAGAAGUCCCUUCUUUUCUGCCAAGCCAGCCAGUGGACCAGGAACAAUGAGUCUGGUGGAUUUCAGACUGGUCCACAGUGAUGUUUUGGGAAAAUCCAACCCCUUAUCCAAAUCAGUCUUAAAUUUCCCUGAAGCAUACGUGGAAGGUCAACUCUGAGGGGAUGCCUGAGACAUCUCCUGCUGCAAGGAGAAACCUUAACCAAAAUGGUGACAUUCAGCUUUAACUGAUCAGUAGCAAACUGCUAU